AACUGGACUGAAAACAUCGCUUUGGAUUGUGUCGUUAAACUUCUAGAAAUGCACAGAAAAACGGCGAAAAUUUUGCUGAUGGUCACAUAUGUGUCAUGAAUAAUAUUUUGGGACGAUGAAGAGAGCAGCAGCUGGUGAUCAGAAACCACCUUUGGCACCAAAACCAAAGGUUCUCCCAGCACCGAAGCAAACAGAGCAUCCACCUGCUUCAAAGCUGUGUGUUUACCAGCCUUCCUCACCGGCUGUUAAAUGCAAAGUUAAGCCUGAUGUGGCACCAAAGCCAUGUCUCUCCAAACUUCCCCCUUCCGCUUUCAAUUCAAAGCACCUCACAUCCAAGGUUGGCCAUCAAGCUGUUUUACAACAAAAGUCUGACAUCACAAAGACCGUUGGUGCUUUACAUUUCAGAAAUGAAGCACACACUGGGAACAACAAGCCGGAGUGGGAUUACAUCAUUCCCAUCUGUGUAUGCACUGACCGAAACUGUGCCGAUUGCUCACCAAAGGAAAACAACCAAAAUGUUCGUCAACAAAGUCCUGAUAAGUAUAAGGCAGGCAAAACCGAAGGACCCAGAAAGAACCCAUCCAAACCUCCGCUGAGAACAGAAGAACAGAAGGAUUUAGUGACACCUACUUCGUCGAAGUGCAUCUCUGAACACAGUUCAUCCAAUAGUAAUCAUUUCCAUCCAACUGAAAAACCUCGGAAAACAUCCCAGAACACAGAGCCACUUAAGGCACAUCAGAGUGGUUCUGAGAUGCAAACGACUAGGAAACACCAAAACAACAUUGUUUCUAGUGUUAAUUCAUCUGUUGAUGGUGGUCCAGAACCUCUAGAAUGUCAGCAAGCACUAAAUAGUGUGCAGUAUUGUCUGUUCCCUACUAAGCCACCUGUGAAAGCACCACCAGCAGCCAUGCAGCACAAAACUAAGAAGAAACAAUCCAACAUUGUCCUUCAGGAGUCAACAGGCCUUACCAAAACAGAGCUUACCGUCUUACCUGUUGAUGUAAACAAUCCAUAUCCGUUACGGAGAGAAAGUCCUAAUAACGUGAACAUCAAUGCUGCAAGACAUUAUAGAGAGAACAAAGAUGCUCAGGCCGCAAGGGGUGCUAAAGGUACCCAGGGCACCAGCCAGGGCGCUCCAACUCUGGCCCCAUGCCAGAAGAUCCCUCAGAUGCAACAAAAUAAAACCCAGGAUGUUGGUGUACAGGCAACUGAAAAGAAAGUGCAAAAUCUGGAUGCAAUCCCUGAGGUCGUUGAGAUUUCGGUGUCAAGUGGUAAACAUCUGAAGAAGAAGACCCAAAAACCUCGAGCUGAUGGCCGCAGGCAUGAUAACAUUGGGGCUACAGAACUUUCAGUAGAUAGACUCCCUAAAAAGAAACCAGCGUCCAAAUCUCCACUGAGAAACGAUGGAAAAAAUGCUGAACAUCCUCCUCUUGCAGUUGAGAAGAAGCAAGCAAGUGAUGUGCCAAACAAGAAGAGACUCAAGCCGAAAUCCAAGUCCUUAUCGUCAGCAGACACCCUUAAACCCGAUGGCCUCAAGAAGACCUCCUUUCUUUGGAUCAUGGACCUUGACCGUGUCAAAAAGGUGCCCAAGGUAUCUGUCAAGAGUGGACAGGCCGACGAUCUCACUCCGGUUAUGAACGAGCAGCCAGUGGACACGGAGGAAAGCCAGCGCAAAAUAUGCUCUCAGAAACCGAUGCCACUGCACAUUGGACAUCCAGAUGCACUGAAACUGAGGCAAGCAGUGAAUGGGAACAUAUUAGGAGUUGAGCAGUAUGUAGAUGAAGAUCUAGACAAUGUUGGUGAAUCUGAACAUGCAUAUGAAGAUAUUACAGAAUACGAAAACCUGCCUCCUUUUAGCACUGCAAUGGCACAGAAUGCCAAUAAAUACCAAUACCAGUCUUCAAAAUAUGAGGACAUUGGUAUUUAUGAAGUUCCUGAUGUGUUCCCUGAACACUACGUAGAUGCCAAAGAGCAGCAGUUUCUUGAAAGAAAUGUGUUGGAAGAAGUGCAGGAAGUGGAUGAUAUGCAUUCAGAAGAAGAUGAAGGCAGAUCAGAAGACGAGGAUAACACCGUCAAUAAAGAAAAACAGACUGAAGCGAAGAAGACCAAAGUUGUGCACAUUGUUAAUGAGAUCUUGUCUUCUGAGAAAAUGUAAGCCUGUUUUGUUCACAUAAAUACUUAUUUUUAAUAUUUUUAAUAUUUGU
rnacentral:lncRNA from 1 species